AGUCUCUUCGGAGGCUAGCGGCGGACGGGUGAGUAACACGUAGGCAACCUGCCUCUCAGACUGGGAUAACAUAGGGAAACUUAUGCUAAUACCGGAUAGGUUUUUGGAUCGCAUGAUCCGAAAAGAAAAGGCGGCUUCGGCUGUCACUGGGAGAUGGGCCUGCGGCGCAUUAGCUAGUUGGUGGGGUAACGGCCUACCAAGGCGACGAUGCGUAGCCGACCUGAGAGGGUGACCGGCCACACUGGGACUGAGACACGGCCCAG
rnacentral:rRNA from 1 species